AAUAAAUAAAAAAAAUAAAUCCUACACCAGAGGAGCGAAGCGCUUUAAAAUAGGGGCGAAAACUGCUGAAGCUGACUAGCUGAGCCAAAGAAAAGUGGCGGGAAAUAAAGUCAUGGCAACAAAUGAUUCACAGAAGCAAUUUCUAACCCUAAUUCGCGGCUUUGCUUCGGAGAGUUCUCAGGGAGAGCGUAGGAUUGUUGAUCUGAAGAAGCGGAUUGAUGAGCUUCGAUACGAGAUCGUAGGAGCUAAUGCGGAGCUUGAAGAGGCUAAGUGUGCGAAGGAAAGUAUUGAGCAGGAUAUUAAAGGCUAUGAAGUUGAAAUGGCUAUGAAUGAAGCUUCAAUUCAAACCCUAGAGGCUAGGGUCGGUUUGAUUCAGAAUGAGGUAGCGGCAGCUAAAUCUGAGUUAGAGGCUCUUAAGAUUGAAGAAGGAGGUUUACGGGAUGAUUUCAUUGAGAGGAUGCUCAAGAUGAAUGAUGCUAUAAGGAAGUUCCAGGAGACAUCAGUUUAUGGAUUCGAUGAAAACGAUUGCUUGGGAACCUCUAAAAGGGAAGAUGCUGAAGUUUCCAGAAGAUCCCUUGAGGAAACUCUUGCUCAGAUUGUAUCUCAAACCAUUGUGGAAGAACAAAAAUACCAAGCAGAACUAAAUAUCCAUAAGCAGACCCAGCAGGAGUUGAUUCAAUUGGAAGAAAAGUUAGUCCUAAUGGAGACUUUACUUAAAGAAAGCAAGGAAUUGCAGGAGUUGACCAGGCAGACAUCUGAAUUUGAAGCUCUUUUUGCUUCACUUGGAAAUGAGCUGCAGAAUAGGUGCUUAUGUCCCAGUUGCCAUCGUGAUAAUGCGGAAGCCUCUGGUGUUACUCUUCAGACAAGCAGUGGGAGUUAGUUUAUUUGCUGCAACUAAUACAGGAAGUGAAGUUAUAGCUUAAUUUUCUGCACGAGAAUCCCAACUUCACGUGUGAAAAAGUUAUAAGUAUCUUCUCUGGGAGAAUACUGGAGGUCUUAUGAAAGCACAACUUGGGAUUCUUACAUCAUUAUAUAUGGACAGAUAGUGGAGACUUGGCUUGGAACAAAGGUACUACAUUGCAGCGUCGGUGCCUCAUCCUCUGGACCUGUCUUCUCUCCUUGAGCGUCAGUUUCAAUCACUUCAUUUGUUAUACUUGGGUGUGUAUGAUAGUUGCCAGAUGUGAACAGAAUGGCUAAGAGUAAGAGAUUCAGCGCAAUGAACACAAAAACUCGCCACUGCUCAAAAAACGAAACCAGGGUGGCACGUUCCAAACACGCCAUCAGCACAGCGGCUCCAGCUGCAAACCUUACGGCGUGUAGCUGCUGUUCAUCCUGUUUCCUCUCCAUUUCAAACUAAUGUAUAAUGUGUAGUGAGUACUCUUUGUCUGCAAAGAAACCUUGUUUAUAUAGAAGUAAGAAAAGGGUAAUUGAGAAUGCCCGUGAAAUUGUGGGUAAUCAUCGAAAAUGCCACUAAUGGGAAGCAAAAGUUUGUGUUGGAUAUGA